GAGAUCAAGCAGCUGGGCUUCCUAUAUAUCCAUAAACUGGACAGUCAUUGUUAUCCUGUGUAAAGAUCUUGAAAAUAGUUUUUAAAAGUACUCACCAAGUGUAUUCCCUGCUGUAAGCAUCUUUCAUGUGAGUGGUUGGGAGUGAUGCGCACUAUCUGCCUUGGUUCAAGGCAGACCAGGGGCAUGCCACAGUUGGUUCACAUGUAAGUGAGGAGCAAUAAGGAAGCCGAUAGAAUCUAGUAAAAGACUGAUUGGUGCUGCUUAAAAUUUAUUAUUUCAGGAACCAUUCAAUGACAGAUUUUACAAGAAAGUCCUAUUUUCUGAUCUGUCUUGAAGCUCCAUGUAGAAGGAAAUCUCCCAUCAUCCCUCACAGUUUUGGAAACUGGAAAAACCCUUCAGGAGCCCCGGACACAAGGUCCGAGAAGGAUGAACAGUAACUUUGUCUUGAAGCUGGCCUCUCCCAUGUGGUGUGGCUGUCCUUGAACCCUUCUCACCAAAGGCCUCUGGAAGAGAAAUGGCUGAGUCCACACAAAGGUGUCAAGUGGCUCCAGCUGCAAGGAGAGGAGAAAUACAGUGGCUGGGAACCAGGCACUUGAUGAAAUAGGUCCCUGCAGUAUUGAUUUUGAAUCUCUUUCACCAGUUAGCCAUUUUGAUUGAGGGUAUUGUCUGACACUGGGAUAGAAGGAAGUCGAAACUUGCCUUGAAUUUUAUUCCUCAGAUUCCCAGGGAGGGGGAAAAAUACCUUCACAUAGGUAAUAUAAAAAUAGCUAUGUUCCAAGGGAAUCUGAAAGAAAUAUUCAGAGAUUGCUGAAAACCAUAUAAUUUUGUAGUUGUACAAGCAGAGAUGACUUUUCUUCUUUAUUCAUUUUAAGAACAGUUUAAAUUGGUUUGUACAUAAUAAAAAUUUAGCCUUUCAUCA
rnacentral:lncRNA from 1 species